CUCGACGGCGCGGCCAGCUCGGCGCAGUCAGUACACGCGUCCCGACGCCCGGGAAUGCGUCCGUCGACGGAGGUGUAGUUUUGCCGCGCGACUCUCACGAUCGUGCGGGUGACACUUGGCCGGAAAACGUGCAAAAUUCGCGAGUCCACUCGAGGAAAGAGGGGAAAAAAUAGUGCGCGGACGAAAGGGGAAAAAAAAGGAUACGCGCGUAUAUGGCGCGCCGUGUCACACUCUUGCCAGUAUAAUGCUACACUUUCUUCGCGAGGUAAUAUUCCUCGAGAUGGGAGAAUUAUUAAUUUCUUUUUUCUUUCUUUGUUUCUUUCUUUCGCUAAAAUUGACAGUGAAGUUAAUUUACUUUUACACGCCCUCCGUCAAGCGGCGAUAUCACGCUCGAGGAUUUGAAUCCCUUCGGUAGAACCGGAGUGAGUUUGACAUGUAUAGAUAACAGUCCAUUGUCGACGCGGAUGCGGAGAGUGGUCUUUGUAAUUUGGACGACGCACUGUGUGUAAGGCUGAAGCAAAAGGCAGGAGAGGGAAGAGAUAUGCCCACGUUGGUAUGCCACGGUGCAAUUGCAGUGCAGUCGCGUUCUUUUUGCGUGAUAAGUUGCUCCGGCGCUGAACAUGGCAGCCGCGAUCUCAAAUAAAAAUCGACGCGAGUACGCGUAAAACUGGCGUUACUGCGACGUUAACGUAAACGAUAUUGUUAAAAGGACGUUUUAGAGCAUUUUACGCAAGCAGUGAGUUACUGCGCUGUAGUUCACGUUAUGCGUGGAUGCUGCAGGGAGAAAGAGAGCUCAGAUAUUCUCUUUCCUUUCUCUUCUUCCGCCCUUUCAACUACACGACUCACAUACCGAACGUGUUUCUCUGUGUGCAGAGAAAGAGAAAAAAGUGUAGAAUGAGGGUGGCACGGCUAUUACUGUGCUGCGUACUUCUCGAAGACUACAGCACCAAUCUCGGCGGAACGGCAAUUACCAGUGACGCCAUGCGCCGCCAAGACGGCUCCUCGUCCGCGACGAAUCCGACGCUAUCAGAUGUGCCGAGCUUCUCCGAGCCGAUCGGCAACGUGACCGCCGCUAUUGGCAAAGAGGUCGCUCUCUCCUGUACCAUCAGGAAAGUGGGAAAUUACAAGGUGGGAUGGCUGCGCGCCGAGGAUCAGACGGUACUAUCGAUGGGCGAUCGCAAAGUUAUCCAGUCGACCCGAUACUUGGUCACCCUGGAGAACGCCAAGACGAAGAACCAGACGCAGUCGCGGGAGGACGAGGAGGCCACUUGGCAGUUGCAUAUUCGGGGGCUGAAGGAGGCCGAUCGUGGCUGCUACAUGUGCCAACUCAACACCAAGCCCAUGAUAAGCCAGCUGGGAUGCGUGGACGUCCUAGUGCCGCCCGAUAUUCUGAGUUCCGGUACCUCAGACGGCGAGGUCUCCGUUCUCGAGGGUGAGAACGCCACGUUGUCGUGCAACGCGUCCGGACGACCGCCGCCUCGCGUGUUCUGGCGACGCGAGAAAAGUGAUUUCAUACUCGUCAGGGGUAUUCACGAUCCGUUGAUACAAGUGGACAACCUGUCGGGCGAGAGGCUAGAAUUAACCAGGGUAGACAGGAGGCAAAUGGGGGCUUAUCUUUGCAUAGCUAGAAACGAAGUGCCUCCGGCGGUCAGCAAGAGGGUUAAUCUAAAAGUAAAUUUCCCUCCUAGCGCGAAAGCACCCAAUCAGCUGCUCAGUUCUCCCCUGGAUACAAACGUGUCGCUAAUCUGCUUAAUCGAGGCUUAUCCCAAGACGAUUAACUUGUGGAUGCGGAAGGAGCAAGUUAUCAUGAGCGGAGGCAGAUACGAAAUCGACGAGCGAGGGGACCCCGACGAGGAAUGGAAGACGACGAUCGUGUUGAAGAUAAGACGCUUGGAGAAAACGGAUUUGGGUGAAUACACGUGCUCAGCCUCCUCAAGUAUGGGAAAAGCGGAGGCGACUCUCAGGGUGUACGAGAUCGAGCGCGUAACCAUGCCCAACCGCGUCACCUCGACCAACUGGAAGCGACUGAACCGAGGCAAGUCAAAGCUCGGGCAAGGGACGAUAGGCAAUAAUCGGCUUAUCUACCAGCAGGUGAGCACGCCGGCGAUGCAGAAGAGCACGGCGCGAUUGAUUCACAACAGGUACGCGACCACAUCGACCACCGCGGACCCGCGUGCUCCCUUAAUUAAGGACCAGGGUAACGCCUUUAAGCACAACAACCACAAUGACAACCACCAGAAUCUUAAGGAUAGCAGCGACGCAUCCGCAGUCAUCGCCAGCAAGCGGAUCGUCUUGCCGCUCUGUCUCGUAUUGUUCUCGACAGUGCGAUAAGACGCGAAGUGACGAGAAUUACGAGGAUGAGGAGGACGACGACGACGAUUGCCACCCCUUUGCAAAAGGAAUUACUCUGUGAGCCAGCAUGGAAUUGUGUUCAUCGAUCUGACAAACAGUGGGGGAUAAGCGAAAGAAGCUCACGAGAAGUCUCGCAAACGAAAAACACGGGGGAAACGAUUCUCAGACAACGACGACCGGGGGUCGAGGGGCUGAUGAAAGAACCAACUCCUCCUCUUAAUUAGCCAGAUCAACGUUCUUAGUAGCACGGGGAAAGAUCGAGAGGCAAGCGAACACUUGGACGCUUUUACAGGGCACCGCGCUGUCUGAAAGUUAAAACUACGAGGGAGAGAUUUUUAUUAUUCGAGGAGCGAGUGAUUAUUCCUCUUUCUUUUCGUGAGAUUAAUAGGUAACUUGGGAGUAAUUUUAUAUAACGUUAGCGUCAAAAGCCUUAUAUAUAUGCAGGGUGUCUAUCUGAAAUGAGCUGUCACUGUCGUUGACGACGGGGUAGAGCCCGCAGAGUUUAAUCGCUUACGUGCGAAUUGCAAUCUUGAUGUGCAUACAUAUACAUAUAUCUCGUAACGACAGUGACGACUCAGUUAAAGUGAACAUCCGUUACGUUGCCAUUGUAAUACGUCUUCAUCGAUGAAUCACACGAACUUUCCGAGCAAUUGUGCGAUCGUACCCAAACGCAGACAAAUAAUUAGCAUACUAAUUUGUAUGUAAGAAAUAAGACGAUAAUAUCUUUGUUUAUUGUGAUUGUAAGGGAGCGAAUCGAUAUUAUACUUGGCAUCAUAGCGAGCGUUAUCACGUCAUAUCCGAAAUAAGAUCCAUAUCCUCUAGCACAUAUAAUAGCAUACCGAACACUUUAGGGAAAUAUUCUAGGCCAUUUCGGUUAUCUUGCGUAUUUUUUUAAAUUACUUGUAGACAAAUACUGUACCUUAUAUAUGUCGGUAAUGAGGCGAGACCACGUUAUAGGUAUAGCGUAAGUGGUUAAACGCGAGGGAUGUGACAGAUGUAUUCGCUUUUUAAAUAAAAAAAACCGCGUUAAACUUAA